GCCUGGAUAGCUCAGUUGGUUAGAGCAUGGUGCUGAAAAUGCCAAGGUCGCAGGUUUAGUCCCUGUAUGGCA